CUAAUACUCCCUCCGUUCGAAAAUACUUGUCCUCAAAAUGGAUAAAAUAGAUGUAUCUAUAACUAAAAUAAGUUUAGAUACAUCCAUUUUUAGGACAAGUAUUUCUGGACGGAGGGAGUAUCAG
rnacentral:pre_miRNA from 1 species